CAGCAGCCGCGGUAAUACGUAGGGUGCAAGCGUUAAUCGGAAUUACUGGGCGUAAAGCGUGCGCAGGCGGUCCGCUAAGACAGAUGUGAAAUCCCCGGGCUUAACCUGGGAACUGCGCUUGUGACUGCACAGCUAGAGUAUGGCAGAGGGGGGUGGAAUUCCACGUGUAGCAGUGAAAUGCGUAGAGAUGUGGAGGAACACCGAUGGCGAAGGCAGCCCCCUGGGCCAAUACUGACGCUCAUGCACGAAAGCGUGGGGAGCAGACAGGAUUAGAUACCCCCGUAGUCCCUGUCUCUUAUAC
rnacentral:rRNA from 1 species